GUGAACGCUGGCGGUAGGCCUAACACCUGCCAGUCGAACGGCAGCACAGUAAGCGCUUGCUCUUACGGGUGGCGAGUGGCGGACGGGUGAGGAAUACAUCGGAAUCUACUUUUUCGUGGGGGAUAACGUAGGGAAACUUACGCUAAUACCGCAUACGACCUACGGGUGAAAGCAGGGGAUCUUCGGACCUUGCGCGAUUGAAUGAGCCGAUGUCGGAUUAGCUAGUUGGCGGGGUAAAGGCCCACCAAGGCGACGAUCCGUAGCUGGUCUGAGAGGAUGAUCAGCCACACUGGAACUGAGACACGGUCCAGACUCCUACGGGAGGCAGCAGUGGGGAAUAUUGGACAAUGGGCGCAAGCCUGAUCCAGCCAUACCGCGUGGGUGAAGAAGGCCUUCGGGUUGUAAAGCCCUUUUGUUGGGAAAGAAAAGCAGCAGGUUAAUACCCCGCUGUUCUGACGGUACCCAAAGAAUAAGCACCGGCUAACUUCGUG
rnacentral:rRNA from 1 species